rnacentral:rRNA from 1 species
GGCGAACGCUGGCGGCAGGCUUAACACAUGCAAGUCGAACGCCCCGCAAGGGGAGUGGCAGACGGGUGAGUAACACGUGGGAACGUACCCUUUGGUUCGGAAUAACUUGGGGAAACUCAAGCUAAUACCGGAUAAGCCCUUAUGGGGAAAGGUUUACUGCCGAAGGAUCGGCCCGCGUCUGAUUAGCUAGUUGGUGAGGUAAUGGCUCACCAAGGCGACGAUCAGUAGCUGGUCUGAGAGGAUGAUCAGCCACACUGGGACUGAGACACGGCCCAGACUCCUACGGGAGGCAGCAGUAGGGAAUAUUGGACAAUGGGGGCAACCUUGAUCCAGCCAUGCCGCGUGAGUGAUGAAGGCCUUAGGGUUGUAAAGCUCUUUUACCCGGGACGAUAAUGACUGUACCGGGAGAAUAAGCCCCGGCUAACUUCGUGCCAGCCGCCGCAGUAA